ACGAGUAGACUUAGCAAACGGGCUGGUAGGAUAACCCGCAGACGGAUUAUUAUACCCACGGAUUACUUGGACAUGGUUAAAAUUUACCCGUAAAUUUUUAGUCAACAUCUUUAUCCAUACCAGCCCGCGGGUGGGCGGGUGGGUAUGUGGGUUACCCGUAUUUUUUUUUCUCUUAUAUUUUUUAUAUACAAAAUAUAUAUAUAAAAGUUUUAAAAACGUAACAUAAUUCAUUAUUUAAAAUAUUAUAACAUACAAUAAAACUAUUUUUAAAAUCUUAAAGCUAAAAUAUUUCAUAAUAUAAAAGACACGCGAUAAAAAAUUAAAGUUAGGAUUUUUAGAAUAGAUAAAUAAAAAUAUAUACAUUUUUUAAUUAAAAAAAUAUAUUAUAUAAUUAAAAAAUAUAUGUGCUGGUACCCGUGGAUUACUCAAAAUGUCCACAGCUUAAUAGGUACCCAUCCAUUUUAUCCGUAAUUUUUUUGGUUGAAAAAGUUGGUACCCAUACCCACAAAUUUGGGGAUAACCCGCGGGUAUGGGUCAAGAUUACUGGGCCUACUCACGAGUAUUUAUAAAUUGGCACUUAGAGAAUUUAUUCGAUACUAAAUACAUAUAAUUUCGAAUAUGAAUAUUAAAAAUAAAAAUUUGACGGAUAUGGAUUCGAAUAUGAAUUUUGAGUGUACCUGAUCCGGACCCGAUUUGGAUAUAUUAAAACUUGAUGUUAUAUUUGAAUUUAUAUUUUAAAAAUUUAGAUUUAAUAUAAUAAAUUUUGAAAUAUUGAAAAAAAGAAAUAAUUAUUUCUACUUCAGAUUUUUUAGUUCGGGUUUCGAAUUUUUGGUAAAAUUUGAAUUUAGAUAUGAAUUUUUAAAAUUCGUCGGGUUCAGAUUCGAAUUUUAAUUUUGGGUUUGGAAUCGGAUUUUAGUUCGAAUUUUUAAAAAUUCGACCC
rnacentral:lncRNA from 1 species